UACGAAGGGGGCUAGCGUUGUUCGGAAUUACUGGGCGUAAAGCGCACGUAGGCGGAUAUUUAAGUCAGGGGUGAAAUCCCAGAGCUCAACUCUGGAACUGCCUUUGAUACUGGGUAUCUCGAGUAUGGAAGAGGUGAGUGGAAUUCCGAGUGUAGAGGUGAAAUUCGUAGAUAUUCGGAGGAACACCAGUGGCGAAGGCGGCUCACUGGUCCAUUACUGACGCUGAGGAGCGAAAGCGUGGGGAGCGAACAGG
rnacentral:rRNA from 1 species